GAGUUCUACUUACCGAUCAGAAGGAGAACCCGACAAUUCUAACAGCACGAUUGAACAAUAGAUUGACAAAUCGAAACGAAGAAGAACAAAGCAAAGGUUUGUAGAGAAGGAGAAAAGAAAAUAUCAGAAAGGGGAAAAAAUAGAAGAAAUUGACGUCAAUUUUUUUUUUAGAGAGAAAAAAAUUUUUGAAAAAAAUAAAAUAAAAAUAAAAACAAAACCUGAUAACUCGCAGUAUCCCAACCCCCCACUAUCCUCUCAUCCUCAACCACCCACUCACACAAACUCCCAAUCCUAACCAAACUCUCUCAGUCAAUCGAGGCAAAAAUUAACCUCCACGCUUGUGCAGGGAUUCAAAUACAAGACCCCCAACACACUAACUCCC
rnacentral:lncRNA from 1 species